UAACGUCUAUUCAUAGGCAAACAAGGUUUGACAGGACAGGACGGGAUCUCAGUCCUCAUCCGGGUCGCACUCGGGGUUAUCCUCGGGGUCCUCCUCCACGUACUCCUCUUCGGGUUCCUCAUUAGGGUUUUCCUCGUCAGAUUCCUCCUCCUUAAGCUCCUCAUCAGGGUCCUGAAAUGGUUAUUCAAUAACCACUGAGACAACGUCUCAGCAAAUUCUACCCCCUAAGACCCGAUUAGUAAACUAAUACACCUUAGGGCUGCCUAUGCAUAACAUGAGUCAGAUGACUUACCUUAGCCUCAAAUUCCACCUGCAUAUUAGCACAAAUCAACUAGGCACACAAGCAAUCACAUCAUGGAUCGAAGCAUUGAUCUAAUCGACUUAGUCGAUUUCAUAUCAGGAAGACCACUCACGAUCAUCUCCCUUCAAUCAUUCAAUUCACAACAUCAAACCAAGGCAAUGAAUCACAUCAAGUCACACUCAGAUUGAAUCCUCGAUCAAUCGACCUAGUCGAUUACAAGCUAGCAAGACCACUCCCGGUCAUUUCCAAUCAAUCAAUUCACAACAUCAGAUUAAAGCAAUGAGUCACAUCUAAUCACACUCAGAUCGAAUCAUCGAUCAAUCGACCUAGUCGAUUACAUGCCAUCACGACCCAAGCUUGGUUGACACAUUUAAUACUAUCUAUAAGUUCGACCAUAGUCCAGGACUGCUCACUCUAAGCUGAUAUAUAGAUAGUAUAGCUCGCACUAAGCUGAUAGGGUUAAGGUAUACUGCUCUCGCUAAGCUGACAUAUCGCCCGUAGGCUGAUAUAGUAUACCGGUAUACUGCUCUCGCUGAGCUGACAUAUCGCCUGCAAGCUGAUAUAGUAUACCCCCGAUGCUCACACCGAGCUGAUAAAGUGUACUGCUCGCGCUAAGCUGACAUAUCGCCCGUAGGCUGAUAUAGUAUACCAGUAUACUGCUCUCGCUAAGCUGACAUAUCAGAGCCCAUAGGAUGAUAUAGUAUACUAUCCGACCAUUCAAUCCAUUCCAUCUGUUAUCCUUCUCGAUAAAAUAGCCGUGUGUGGGGACACGGUCGGCCUUAGCCAAAAUAUAAUAUUUUCCUUUCCAUAACUCCCACAUUUUCUGUAGUCCACCAAAACAUUUUUAGUGCUGUCAACCGACACCCGGUUAUUUUCCAAUUAUUAAUCAAAGAUUAUUCCAUGAAAGAAUAAUUCCCAAUUUCACAAAUAAUUCAAUUCAGCACAAAAUAAAGCUCAAUUAAAUAAAUGAACUGCGCCAUGACAAUCAGCACCAAAUUCCAGUCGCUAGCCAUCCCAGUUGAAUUUUCGGAAAAUAAAUAAUUAAACAACUAAUUUCGAAAAUUAAAUAAAUACAUACAAUAAAUUUGAUUUAGCAUAAUAUAAAGCUCAAUUAAAUAAACGGACUACACCAUGAUCAUCAGCAUAAAAUUUCGGUCACUGGCCAUCCCAACCUUAAUUUCCGAAAAUAAAUAAAUAAUUAAUUAAUUUCGAGAAUUAAAUAAUUAAUAUUAAAAACUCAAUUUAGCUCAAAAUAAAGCCCGAUUAAAUAAACGGACUUCACCACGGUCAUCAGCAUAAUAUUCCGGUUCCGGACCAUCUCAGUUGAAUUUUCGGAAAAUAAAUAAUUAUUUAAUUUAAUUCCGAAAAUUAAUAUUUAAAAUACCAAAAAUCUCACUUAUGCCCGAAUUGCCUAAUUAACACCCGAUAAGGGACGGGAAAAAUCCCAAGAAGCAUCCAAUAAAUACUACAAGCAAUUCUCUAUAUAAUUACACUAAUCACACAACUAAAAUGCAAAACAAUUAACUAAUAAUCACUAAUCAAUUCUAAUCUAACAACCUAAUUACACUUAAUUAACACUAAUCAACCUUUAAGUAUAAUUAGCGUACUAAGAAGGCAUUAGUGAGUAAAACUCACUUGAUUAAAGAUCCGCUCGGAUCAAAUUGACUAGCACGCGACGAGUGCCGAUAAACCUCAAAGCAGGACUCCCAAGCGGGGCCAAACCCGGGGCUGAAUCGGCCUACAAGCUCGCUGUUCGAGUUGGGUAUUCUGCUCCCGAGCUUCUGACCUUGCUGAAUCGGUUCUGCAGGGAUGAAAUCAGUGGCUGAAUGGACACGGUUUGACUGGAUUCGGUGGCCGCAGUGAUGGAACGACCAGCAACCGGGCUGAGUUGCAGCUGCGGGGCUUGCGGGACGUGAGGUCUCUCGAAGGAAUCCUUUUCGUCGCUGCUGGAGUUAACCAUGAGAAGAAGUCGCUGAUUUGCUGACCGAAUGAAAUACGUGGGUGAGCUACAGGGAAGAAAAUUCUCGGUGGGGAUGAGGCAUGCGUGAGUGCGGCAUGGCAGAGAAGAAGAGGAAUCGUGGGGCUGCUUCUGCGGGUUUGCUUCCGUCCAAGCAAAUUAAAGAAAGCAGAAGACGUGAGGGAGUAGGGUUCAGCUGCCCUGGCGUGGGAAGCAAGUGAAGAAAAGAUAAAAGAGAAGACCGGUCAAAGGAAAAGAAGGAAUUGAAGACUGCAGGGGGGUUUCGUGCGAGA
rnacentral:lncRNA from 1 species